rnacentral:lncRNA from 1 species
AAAUACAUAUUUUCAUUCAUUUAAUUUUCUUUUCCCCAAAUUUCUCUCUCUCUCUCUCUCUCUCUCUCUCUCUAACCGUUUUCGAUUCCACCACCAUUGCGCUCGCUCUCCAUUGUCACCGCCGUCGCCGAUUACUCUCGGUUGUCACCGCCGUCAUCACUCAUCUCACCACCGUUGUGAAUCGUGCACCACCGUUGUGGCUCAUCUCACCGGAUCUCAAAGUGUUCUCGAUCUAAUCUCGCUUUCGAUCUACACUGUAUCAUCGUCAAGCUCUCAAAUCUCACAUUGACAUUCUCAUUCUUCCUUUCUCCAUAGCUUUCCUGGUAUUGACCUGCAAUGAUUUUGUUUUUGUAGUGCAUUUCUCGUACUUUUGAUUCACAGUUGGAUAAAUUUGCCCAAUCCUGAACCCUAAUUUCAGAUUAUCAUUUUUAACUUGAUACUUUUCUUUGAUUUUUUGGUACUUUCUUAGAUUGAACUCUUUUAAUUUUCGGAUUUCUAUUUCCAAUUUGCUUAAUAUCGUGCUUUUUUAUUCGAUUCAGUUUUGGAAAAUUGUCAGUAUUACUGUAUUUUGGUCUUGGUUGUUGAUCAUUGUUAGCAGAACCAUACGACGGAGAUAUGGCGGAGGCAACUUAUGUUGAAGAGAUAACCUAGCUAAGGUUGCAACCAUAAAAUAAACUUUUGCUUUAAUUUUCAUUUAAUUUUUCAAUUGUGCUCUAAUAGUUAUGUAGUUUUUCUAAUUGUGCAAUAAAUUAUUUUCUAGCAUUUGAAAUAACUUGUAACAUGACAUGGUAUUGAAGCUUGCACUUCAUCUAGUGUCAUCUAUCAUAUCUAAUAAACAUACUAUUAGAAUAUGUGUCUAUGUUGAGUUGUUUUGGUUUAGUUUCGAUUAUGUGAAGCAUGCCAUAGUUUGAUGGAAGGGUGGAUCAAGUGGGCCUUGACUUUGGUCCUAAGCCCAAAAUGUGGAGAGUGUAUGAAAGAAAGCAUUUCAAGAAGAAUAAUAAAGGAUGACGUGGAUUGAAAAGGUGGAGGGGAUGCAUGAGUUUGCUUGCACUACUUAUAGUUGGUUAGGAGGAGAGAGAAAGGGUAUCUUAUUCAUUCUGUUAGAACUUGCAUUCACAAUACGUGAAUAGGGGGCCUUUGUGCUUUGGGAGAAUUGAUAAUUCUUAUCAAUUCUACAGUUAUCUUUGUUUGUUGCUUUCAUCCAUUUUCCAUUCAUAAGUGUAAUUGUUCAUCUAGUCAUUAAUACAAUUACUUCUUUCCCUAUUUUACAUAUUAUUCACUCUUAGUUCUAUCAUAGUUCACAUUGCAUAAUUUUUUUUUUGGAAUUUUGAUCUUUUGAAUUGUGUGCUUUAGUUAGUAAAUGUUUUGUGUGCUUAAAAAGCUGGUCAAUAAAUUAAGGGUGAAAUAUUUGUUUUACUUCUAAGUGGAUGCUUUGUUUUAAACUGUCUAAGCAGGUUUCUUGGAAGACAUAUUCAAUAUAGUUUCAUUACAUUUUUAUUAUAUUACACCAUUGUAACUACUUUGAAGCAUCAUAAUGCAUAAUCUUCUUAUCCGAAUUCUCAUAAGUUUUUUGUCUUCUUCCAAUUUACUCAGUUUGUAUAUAUUUAGUGUAGUUUUAAAAUGUUAUCUUUGACAUAACUGUUAAUAGUUUUUAAUUUGAGAAAAUAAGAAUUAUCUUGUUAGAUNNNNNNNNNNNNNNNNNNNNNNNNNNNNNNNNNNNCACCUAAUAAUUCCUUGCAUAUGACUUAUCUUGACAGCUAUGUCUCUAUUUAAAGCUAUUGGCCCUGCUGCUGCUGGUACAAUG